rnacentral:rRNA from 1 species
AGGAGAGUUUGAUCCUGGCUCAGGAUAAACGCUGGCGGCGCACAUAAGACAUGCAAGUCGAACGGAAGCCGUUAUAAAUGAAACGGAUUGAAGAUUUAUCAGAUUGAAGUAGAUUUUAUAACAAUGACUUUAGUGGCGGACUGGUGAGUAACGCGUGAGCAACCUGCCUAUUAGAGGGGAAUAACAGUGAGAAAUCAUUGCUAAUACCGCAUAAGCUUGUAGGAAUGCAUGUUCUAGCAAGAAAAGGAGAAAUCCGCUAAUAGAUGGGCUCGCGUCUGAUUAGCUAGUUGGUGUGGUAACGGCAUACCAAGGCAACGAUCAGUAGCCGAGCUGAGAGGCUCUACGGCCACAUUGGGACUGAGAUACGGCCCAGACUCCUACGGGAGGCAGCAGUCGGGAAUAUUGCGCAAUGGAGGAAACUCUGACGCAGUGACGCCGCGUAUAGGAAGAAGGUUUUAGGAUUGUAAACUAUUUUAGACAGGGAAGAGAAAAGACAGUACCUGUAGAAUAAGCUCCGGCUAACUACGUGCCAGCAGCCGCGGUAAUACGUAGGGAGCAAGCGUUAUCCGGAAUUAUUGGGUGUAAAGGGUGCGUAGACGGGAACUUAAGUUGGUUGUGAAAUCCCUCGGCUUAACUGAGGAACUGCAACCAAAACUGAGAUUCUUGAGUGCUGGAGAGGAAAGCGGAAUUCCUAGUGUAGCGGUGAAAUGCGUAGAUAUUAGGAGGAACACCAGUGGCGAAGGCGGCUUUCUGGACAGUAACUGACGUUGAGGCACGAAAGUGUGGGGAGCAAACAGGAUUAGAUACCCUGGUAGUCCCCU